rnacentral:rRNA from 1 species
UACGGGGGGAGCAAGCGUUGUUCGGAUUUACUGGGCGUAAAGGGCGCGUAGGCGGUCGUGACAAGUCACUUGUGAAAUCUCCGGGCUUAACUCGGAACGGUCAAGUGAUACUGUCGGACUAGAGUACAGAAGGGGCAACUGGAAUUCUCGGUGUAGCGGUGAAAUGCGUAGAUAUCGAGAGGAACACCUGCGGCGAAGGCGGGUUGCUGGGCUGAUACUGACGCUGAGGCGCGAAAGCCAGGGGAGCGAACGGGAAUUAGA